rnacentral:rRNA from 1 species
AUUGAACGCUGGCGGCGUGCUUAACACAUGCAAGUCGAGCGGUAGCAGGCGUAGCAAUACGUGCUGGCGAGCGGCGAACGGGUGAGUAAUGCAUCGGAAUCUUCCUAGUAGUGGGGAACAACCUGGGGAAACUCAGGCUAAUACCGCAUACGACCUACGGGUGAAAGCAGGGGUAUCGCAAGACCUUGCGCUAUUAGAUG